UACAGAGGUCUCAAGCGUUGUUCGGAUUCAUUGGGCGUAAAGGGUGCGUAGGCGGCGCGGUAAGUCGGGUGUGAAAUCUCGGGAGCUUAACUCCGAAACUGCAUUCGAUACUGCCGUGCUUGAGGACUGGAGAGGAGACUGGAAUUUACGGUGUAGCGGUGAAAUGCGUAGAUAUCGUAAGGAAGACCAGUGGCGAAGGCGGGUCUCUGGACAGUCCUGACGCUGAGGCACGAAGGCCAGGGGAGCAAACGGG
rnacentral:rRNA from 1 species